ACAAUCAACUAGCCAUUAGGAGCCUUCACAGAGAGGACUGGGCAGAGGGACCAAAAUCCCGCUGGGUCAAGGGACACAAUACUUGACUGAGUUCGUCCUGGACGAUAUCUCGCUGCUGAGGGUGACCUGCGAAGCAAGAGAGGGUCUUCCACUACAAUGUGGCUUCCGCCCUGGCCUAUAUGCGGCUUGCCUGUGUGCAGCAAUGGUCCCCCCGCCUCUCACGGCACAGUGGCGUGGACAUGUUAGCCUGACUGGGACAAGGACCACAGCGGCUCUCACAAAACCUGCGCAAGUGCAUUGCCCAAGUUCUGACUGAUACCUUUGAAGAGAUCACUGAGGCCGAUUACCGCGAUGUGAAAGAGCAUAUCAAUGCCCUAUUCUGCAUCUAGGCAUGCAUGCAGCCCUAACCCUCCUCGCCCCAAGAGCCUGCACUGAACAAUUUCCUUCCCAAAAUAAAAGCCAUUUACCGUGAA